AGUGAACGCUGGCGGUAGGCCUAACACAUGCAAGUCGAACGGCAGCACAGUAAGAGCUUGCUCUUACGGGUGGCGAGUGGCGGACGGGUGAGGAAUACAUCGGAAUCUACUUUUUCGUGGGGGAUAACGUAGGGAAACUUACGCUAAUACCGCAUACGACCUACGGGUGAAAGCAGGGGAUCUUCGGACCUUGCGCGAUUGAAUGAGCCGAUGUCGGAUUAGCUAGUUGGCGGGGUAAAGGCCCACCAAGGCGACGAUCCGUAGCUGGUCUGAGAGGAUGAUCAGCCACACUGGAACUGAGACACGGCCCAGACUCCUACGGGAGGCAGCAGUGGGGAAUAUUGGACAAUGGGCGCAAGCCUGAUCCAGCCAUACCGCGUGGGUGAAGAAGGCCUUCGGGUUGUAAAGCUCUUUUGUUGGGAAAGAAAAGCAGCAGGUUAAUACCCCGCUGUUCUGACGGUACCCAAAGAAUAAGCACCGGCUAACUUCGU
rnacentral:rRNA from 1 species